rnacentral:rRNA from 1 species
CCGCCCGUCACAUCACGAAAGUGGAUUGUACUAGAAGUCUGCAGGCUAACCCGCAAGGGGGCAGCGGCCCAAGGUAUGAUUCAUGAUUGGGGUG